UGCUUUUGUAGUUGAAGUACAACAGUGGUUUUUCAUAUCAUUGGUUAUGGUUAUAGUCCAUGCAGAAGUAA
rnacentral:tRNA from 2 species